CCCUGGGCCACCUGCAGCGGAGUGCGCGAACUUAACCACUCAGCCAUGGGGCCAGCCCCUAAAGAUAUCACUUUUUUAAGAGGAGUGUUUCCAUCUUGAAUCUUUCUUAGGCAAACAGAGCAAUGGAAGUCAAAAAAGAAAAAAACAUGAAUUUUCUUAAGUAGAAUAAUUAAUUUUCUAGUCACUAUAAAUGGUUAGUGUUGAUGAUCAUGGCACGUCGCCAGCGUGUAAUGAGUCUGAGAAAUCAAAACCUUGAACGCUGAAUCAAGCCAAGACCCUGAACUGGCUAAAUGAUAUAUUAGGAAGGAUGCAGAGGAGCAAAGAUGAAGGGUGGGAGUUUUCCAAGGUUAAUUACGGAACGAACAUCUAGGAACAAGGAAGUGAGAACAGGGAGGUUUGGUAUGUGACGUAUGUUGAAGGGCUGGGACCACACAUUGGAGAUAUUGUGCAAGUACAGUUCAUUAUUUAAGAACACAUUACCCUCUGAAUUGUCUAAAGGUCAGGGUCAACUUUACACUCAGACUUUAUUUUCAUUCUUUGUUGAUUUAGAAAUGGUCUCUUGAGUACCUCUCUAAGCCUCUCAUUGUGUAGUCUGUAAGUACUCUGUUGAAAAUAUUCAGAUUAAUCACCCACUUUACUCCCUCUCUAGUAUUUUCUUGGCAUUGUACUAAGUGACACAGAAAGUGCAUAUAUACAUAUAUAUAUUUCUCAAAAAGAUUGCAAGCUAUUUAGGAAUGAAAGAUACCAUUUAUUGAGCAUCUACUAAAUAAUAAAUAUUCGUGUAUUUUUUAUAACCCUAUAGUAACUCUUCAAGAUGGGUAGUAGUAGCUUCCAUUUUACAGAUAGGAAAACUGAGGUGUAAGAUGUUCCUUAACUUCUCAAAAGCCACAUUGCUAUGAAGUGUUAAAUCCAGGAUUUGAAUUCAGGUAUCUCUCUCUUUUUUUGUGUGAUUGAGUCCCUUUCAACUGUGCUAGUAUAUAUCGCAGAUAAAUUAGGUUAUGCUAUGAUAACAAACAACCCCAAAAUCUUAGUAGCCUAGUCCAUCAUCAGUUAAUUUCUUGUUCACACUGUGCUCUGUGGAUUUGAGCAACUCUCCAGGGCAAGCGUCCUCAGUGUGGAAGCUCAGCAUCACAGGCUGCUUUGUUCGUGGAGCAUUUCCAUAUCUACAUGGACCUCCAGCAAACAAACAGGGAGCACGGAGAAAUGUACAUCACUUCUAAAUACUUCAGCUCAGAAGCGACACACUUCAUUUCUGCUCACAUUUUAUUGGUCAAAGAAACUCUCAUGACCACACCUACCUUCUGAAAAGAAAGGAGAACCACAAAUCCUGGCCUGGAGAGGUGGUUAUAGAGCCUGAGAGAAACGGCCAGUUGUGCGUUUUGAAAGUGCAGAGGCCAAGACUCGCUCAGCAACACUGAUACAUGUCUCAGGAAAUUUGUGAAAUCAUUUGAAGGAGGAGACCUUCAAGAAAAGACGUGAGUCAGCCGCAACUCUCAUCCAUCCAGCUCAAGUGGUCAAUCAUUCUGCUGUCACAGGAAUGCGUAACCUUGGAACCAGAGGUCUCUCCCAUCCAUCAACUCCCAUGUGUUCUUCCCUUCUGGGCAUGUUCAGUUGAGAUUGCACAGGCUCUCCUUCAGUCACCCUCUUAGAAAUGCCUUCUUAGUGAACUGAAGCCCUGUUGACUUACCCAGAAACUCAGGUCCCUUUCUUCCUCACUACAGAUGGGACCUUCACAAUAUACGCAUUGUUCAUCUAGAAACCCCAUGAAGCUGUAACCUGAACCCCUUGUCCUGAGGCUACUGAAGGCGGCUCCAUCCAAUGGUGUCUGUGGACCCCAGUGGAGAGACAGGUAACUGGCCACAGCCACUGCUUUGAGGUAAUUGGAGACUGGGAAGAAUAAAGUAAGAAGAGAAAAUAUCUUCACCAAAGGGAAAAUGGCUAGAAAGAAACAAUAAAACAGACUUUAAAUUAAAUGUGGCAGAUUGAAUACGUAUUCUUCUCUCUCAAAAGCCCCCCAAAUGACAAGAAUAAAGUGAAGAGGAGCAGACAAAAAAGCAGAUGAGUCAUGGGGCAGUGGUAACUCACAGAGAUUUGAGCUUUCUGGAAAUUUACAUGCUGAAGGAGAAAAGCCAAGAGUGACCACAGAACCUUGAAAAGGCUCAGGGACUGGAGGCACCAAGCAGCUCAGAAGGGGGAGGCAGGAGAUGGCUAAUCCCAGAUGGAUCUAUGAAACAUUGUAGGGAACAGUUGUUACCUCCCAAUGCCUUUUCUCAUCCACAUACCUGGUCCGCUGUCCCUCUUGACUCUGGAAGAAAUGAGAAGGUUAUGAUCAAGAGUCCCAUCAAAGUGAAGCUCUGAACUGGUGGACCAGUGAGCUAACCAUGGAAGGGAAGCCAGUACUGAAAAUGAAGGCAUUAGGUGGUUAUCUGCAUUCUAAAUGGUGAGAUGCCUGGGCCUCCCUCUCCCCUCCCUUCCCCCAGAUAUCCCAGAUUACAGCUGCCAGGUUUACAGGUCACUUAGCAAGAGGAUGGAGGACCAGCUUUAGCAGAAUUUCCUAGGCUGAGAGAAAACACUUGCAAUUCAUAAACCUGGGCUCCCACAGCUUACUCUCAGCUCUUUAGAACCUCAGGCUGAAAUGGACAGAUAUCCAGUGAUUUGAGAAAAUCUGCUAUUAUUAAACAUGGAAUCCAAAACAGAAAAAAAAAAAAAAAAAGGACGUAGAGGAAA